rnacentral:snRNA from 1 species
AUACUUACCUGGCAGGGGAAACACCAUAAUCAGACAGGUGGUUUUCCCAGGGCAAGGCUCAUCCCCUGCACUCCAGGUGUGAUGACCCCUGCGAUUUCCCCAAAUGCAGGAAACUCAAAUUUUUUAAAAAUUUCCUUAGUUCAAGAAGCACAAGGAAUUGCUUGAA